UGGGGAAUAUUGCGCAAUGGGCGGAAGCCUGACGCAGCGACGCCGCGUGAGGGAUGACGGCCUUCGGGUUGUAAACCUCUUUCAGCAGGGACGAAUGUGACGGUACCUGUAGAAGAAGCACCGGCUAACUACGUGCCAGCAGCCGCGGUAAUACGUAGGGUGCGAGCGUUGUCCGGAUUUAUUGGGCGUAAAGAGCUCGUAGGCGGCUUGUCGCGUCGAAUGUGAAAACCCGGGGCUCAACUCCGGGCUUGCAUUCGAUACGGGCAGGCUAGAGUUCGGUAGGGGAGUCUGGAAUUCCUGGUGUAGCGGUGAAAUGCGCAGAUAUCAGGAGGAACACCGGUGGCGAAGGCGGGACUCUGGGCCGAUACUGACGCUGAGGAGCGAAAGCGUGGGGAGCGAACAGG
rnacentral:rRNA from 2 species